UACGUAGGGGGCAAGCGUUGUCCGGAAUCAUUGGGCGUAAAGAGCGUGUAGGCGGCUCGGUAAGUCCGCUGUGAAAGUCCAGGGCUCAACCCUGGAAUGCCGGUGGAAACUGUCGAGCUAGAGUCCGGAAGAGGCGAGUGGAAUUCCUGGUGUAGCGGUGAAAUGCGCAGAUAUCAGGAAGAACACCAAUGGCGAAGGCAGCUCUCUGGGACGGUACUGACGCUGAGACGCGAAAGCGUGGGGAGCGAACAGG
rnacentral:rRNA from 1 species